CUCCCCCAGCUGCAAGGGAGGCUGUGAAAUGAAGUCUCUAGUUGGAUAGCAGUAAGUCCUGCUGAGUUCAGCAGUUGCUGUUCCUAAAAGGAAGAAAUGGGUAGAAUGGAUAUUGGUGGACAUUUAGAGACAAGGAAACUGGACAACUCUAGACUGUUGCCAGGAGUCAGGAGAAGACAACAGACGAUGGUACUUAAGGCUUUGGCUUUGGAAAAAGAGAUACCUGGAUUCUGAUCCUGAAGUCUCUCACUUAAACUUUACAAGUCUCACUUUCUCAUCAGAUAACCUUAUCUUGUACAAGAUUCAUGUGUUGGUGAGCUCAUUUCCACCAGAACUCAGCCCAGGCUGCUGUGGGAUGGAAUCACCUGCACCCGGAUGUUCUUUCUGGGCUGGUACAUACAGUUUCACCAGCAACAGAGAAAGCAGAAGCCAUCCUGGGCAAACCUGGACAGGUGGUCACCGUGUGAAACCUGAAGUCCCCUUUGAUCCUCCCAUCUGGUUACAACCACCCCCAAUCAGAGCUGCCUGGACCUUGCCCGGCCUCCUCCUCACUCACCGAGCCACCGGAAUAAAGUUGGAAGUGUUUGUGCUGUACUUUAAUCAGCAUUUAAUGACCCAGUCGAAAAUUCAUUGUUUGGACCCAAGCACUGGUGGGAAAGGCAGGAGGGGAGGCCUGCCUUCCUUCCUCCCUCCCGAGCCCUACAGCAGGCCAUGGAGUGGUGAGCGAGUUCGUACAGUGCCAACCACAUUCCCAGAAACUUCCAGCAGAGGUUAAUCCUGCUCCUCUCAGGUGGGCUUGGCCCAUUCUCUAGACUUUGGAAGGUAAUGUUCUAUAGAGGCCUGUUCUGAAGCUUUACCAGGUCAAACCGGAGAAGAACCCAACAAGUAACUCAUCCCAGCCUAACUAUUCUUCAAGGGCAAUCAACCUACAGCAUCCAAGCACAGAGAAAUCAAAUCCAUGGAGAAUCUUCAAAUUAGGCUCAGAAUCCAUUUGGGUCAAUGAAUUUACUGUUAUUAAGAUCUUAGUUGUGUUCAACCAUGAUUUGACAUACCUUAGAGUGAGAAGAUAUUCUUCCUGGCCUCAGACUAGUUGAAGGUAGAGAGAGAGACAGGCCCUUGGGUGUGGGGAGACCUCUCCUGGGAUAAUACACACAAAAAACCAAGAGCUGCUCACUGUGGUGCAGGAGACAGCAGGGCCUGAAGCCAGAGGCUCUGUGUCCUUGAAUACAAUGUUUUACUCCUCUGACCCCUGUUACUGUGAUUUGGAGAGGCAGACAAUAUAGGAUGGGCUUUGCAGGCAGGGAGGUCCAGUUAUAAUCCCAGCUCUUACUAAGUUGGGUAAGACUCACUCUGAGACUUAGUUUCUUCUGUCAUCUCUCAAUAGAAUCAUAAAGGUACUUUCCUCUUAGUGUUGUUUUAAAAUUCAGUAAAAUAAUGCAGGCUUAGCACAGGGUCUGAUGUAAAUUUUCAAUGAAUUAUCGUUGUCAAUAUUGUUCUGGAAAACAAGAGGGCAUAUUAGAAGAUCAAAAGUACUGCCAAGCAUUGAAGUGCCAAUUCUAGAUCCAGUCUCAGCCCUCUGAGAAUGGAUAUCAUUGUUUUCAAGCCAUUCAGAAACCAAUGUGAAUUGAACACCUAGUAUGAGCUCUCUGAGGGAAGAGCCAAGUCAUGCAUUUUUUAUCUUAAGGGGUCUUCAAUACCUCUAGCCCAAAACAGUAUCUCCAUCAGGAUUCUUCUCUGAUAGUGUUCAUUUCUUUUUUCUCAAUGGAUGCCUUAAAAAAAAAAUCCUACAAGGAAACCUGUACUCCUCAAAUACACCACUCAGGUGACCAUUAAAUCAUUUACAUUGUUAAUUUCUUUUCAGAU
rnacentral:lncRNA from 1 species